rnacentral:rRNA from 1 species
AGCGAACGCUGGCGGCAGGCCUAACACAUGCAAGUCGAACGAAGUCUUCGGACUUAGUGGCGGACGGGUGAGUAACACGUGGGAACGUACCCUUUGGUUCGGAACAACUCAGGGAAACUUGAGCUAAUACCGGAUGAGCCCUUAGGGGGAGCGAUUUAUCGCCGAAAGAGCAGCCCGCGUUAGAUUAGCUAGUUGGUGAGGUAAAGGCUCACCAAGGCUACGAUCUAUAGCUGGUCUGAGAGGAUGAUCAGCCACACUGGGACUGAGACACGGCCCAGACUCCUACGGGAGGCAGCAGUGGGGAAUCUUGCGCAAUGGGCGAAAGCCUGACGCAGCCAUGCCGCGUGAAUGAUGAAGGUCUUAGGAUUGUAAAAUUCUUUUACCAGGGACGAUAAUGACGGUACCUGGAGAAAAAGCCCCGGCUAACUUCGUGCCAGCCGCCGCAGUAAAAC